GCGUGGGUAGCUAAGCUUGGUCAACGGCGAGGGACUCAAGAUCCUUUCCCGCAGGGGUUCGCAGGUUCGAAUCCUGCCCCACGCA
rnacentral:tRNA from 1 species